CUGAGGCAUUUCCACACAGUGUCUGUUUCCUCAGAACACAGGUCUUCAGUAAAGGCGUGGGAAAGGGCAGAGAGAGCACAGGAUAUAUUCUGGAAUUCAGGUCACCUUUUACAUCUGCCUGGAGCUGGGCAAACACCUCACGAGUGACUUGGCAGGACUGACUGCCACAGCUAACCAGGGGAAUGCAAGCAAUAAGGAGGACCUGCCCAGGCUCGGUGGGCGUCUGCUCCCUCCCUCUGGUCCCUGGCACAUCCCUGGACUCCCUGCCCUGCUGUCGGAGGGAGAGGAGGGGCAACAGCGUAUUCUCAGAGACAGGGUCUGCCUGCAAAUUCUUUAAAGUCAACGGGGUGAAAUAUAUACCCACUGUCAGAAAAAAAUAGGACUUAGCAAGUUGAGUGCAAAUAACUGAUACAAGACUGGGAUGGAGAUGGGAGGGGUUUGGGGCAAAAGCAGAAGUCUUUCUGGGUCCACACGAGCUGUGAAACACCUGGCUCGUUGCUCUGUGCCUGCCUCCGGCACCCAGGCGGGGCUACCUGACCAUUCUGCUCUCUCAGCCCCGCCCUGGCUCUGGAGCGAGCCUGUGGAAAGGAGGACACUUAGCCAGGGCCCCAGCCACAUAGCAGCAGCAGCUGCGCCCUCUGUCGGCUCCUUGCACCUGCUCACUGGGCCUCCUGCGAGGCACCUGCUCCACUCCACCACCAUCACCUGGGUCCUCCUGGCCUCGGCCUGGCUUGCUUACCUUGUUAUCAAGGCCUGACUGGGGGAAGCAAUACUCCUUCUCCACUACAAAUCACCACAGUAUUCACAAAGAAUUCCAGAGAAAUAAGAACACAGACAUCAGACCAGACUGAGCACUCAAUAAAGAGAAAAUUCUUCAAAGGUAGCUGAUUGAUGAGAGUUUCCACAUGCAGAGGGGACAGGCACUGAUUCGUGCACAAGAAGAUCAACUUGAUUGGAUCCAAAAUAAAGGAAUGUGUGUGUGCUGCAUGCACGCACACACACAUCCCCAUGGCAAACUUUCGCUAUCCCAGGAGCGUGGACCACAUGUGAGGAUCCCGGCUCCUUAUCUCCCCUCCCCGAUUACCUUUGCAAUCUGCACACACCAGUUGAGCAGGUACUGGGAGCCGAUAUUGUCCUUGUGUUCCCGGACGUAGUCCAGGAGGCAGCCGAAAGGCAUGAGCUGCGUAAUGAGCUGCACGGUGGAGGUGAGGCAGAUGCCCAGCAGGCGGCACACAUGGGGGUUGUCCACACUGGCCAUCACGUAGGCUUCCUGGAGGGAGGGAGAGGCGUGUCAGUGGGGCUUCCCAUGGCCACCAGAAGGAGGGGCACAUGGACCCCUUCCAGGUGAAAACGCAUGAAUACGAUCUUGAGUUUUGAAAUAUGUACUCAUGGAGGAAAAGCUGUGCCUGCAAAAGACCUAGCGCAAGGACGUUUAUGCAGGGCUGUGAAGUGACAGAUGCAGUGGGAGGGUGCCCCUCCUGGGUGCAUCCGGGGAUUCCCCAUGACAGAGAGGCCCAGGCAACAGUGGCCAUCAGGAGCACAUUGGAUAAAGGAGGAACCGGAGUCACCUGAUCUCUGAGUUUGGGAACUGAUACUGUCUUUGUUAUGAAGACCUCUGCCUCAAGGUUAAGGAUGCUGUGGUUUAAAAUAUCAUGAGGGCCUGUGGGACUCUGUGUGUGGGGUCCAGAACACCCUGGGUAAUGACUGACCCUGCACAUCAGGGACACUGGCUGUGGGUGCUGCAGAGGAGAGGCGAUGGAGAAGGCAUCCAGGGAGCGCUGAGCCAGCAAGGAGAAAGGCCUCCCUUCCCCAGAGGCUAGGUUUGACCCUGACUGUGCUCUGGGAAAUGGGUGGGCAUUUGGUCUGGGGACCCUGCCCGCAGCACCUCUGCAAAGAGUAGCUGGACAAGCUCUUUCAAUGGACCAGUCCCAGGCUUUGAAAUGGACAGAGCAUUCAAUCUAUAGUGACUAAAGGCUGCCUGGCUGCCCGGGACCCAUUUCUAAAGAGAAGUGGUCUCUCUGUGCUGCGCCCCCAGACUUCCUAUGGGAAAUCCAUGAUGCACUGAGUCAGGCAUCUGCUGCCCGCUAAUUCCGGCUGGCUGCCAAGGCAGGGGCCUUCCUUUGACAGAGCCAUAAAUACAGACUUUAUUUUAACCCUUCUGCUAUUCUUGGGCUGAGGAAGCUAAAUUUAUUUGCAGUCAUGCACACAAUGGGGCCCUCUUUUCUGUCUGAGAAUGAGGGAAUCUCCAAUUUCCACCCAUAAAUUCUCUUUCCCUUUAAAAUACAAAUGGUGGUGACCUUUUAUUCAGAUGUGGAAAAGAACACACGGACUGAAGCAGAAUGCAUCCAGAGCUGCUUUUCACAUCUCAGCAAUGCCUGUGUUUGAGUGUGGACUUGGGCAAGUUAGUUUCUCUGCAGAAGUGAACACACCGGGCCAGGGUCUGAGAUAGGGUGCUGCUCCAGGGUGCCUGGGCAGGUCAGGUGCAAAAGGCUGGCGGGAGGCAGGGUGGAGAUAGGAGACAGGAGACAAAGGCAAGGUGGAGCGAGGGGAUACAGACAGUCAACCCUCAGUGUCUGGGGAAUUGGUUCCAGGAGACCUCCCUCAGAUAUCAAAAUGCGAGGAUGCUCGAGCCCCUGACAUAAAAUGGCACAGCAUUUGCGUGUAACCUACAGACAUCCUCCCAUCUACUUUACAGCAUCUCCUGAUUACCUAUAGUACCUAAUACAAUGCAAAUACUAUGUGAAUAACUGUUAUGCUGUAUUGUUUAAGGAAUAAUGACAAGAAAAAAGUCCGUAUAUGUUCAGUACUGAUGCAA